rnacentral:rRNA from 1 species
CUACGGGCUGCUCCAGUGAGGAAUAUUGGUCAAUGGACGCAAGUCUGAACCAGCCAUGCCGCGUGAAGGAUGAAGGCCUUAUGGGUUGUAAACUUCUUUUAUACGGGAAUAAACUUAGCUAUGUAUAGCUAACUGCAGGUACCGUAAGAAUAAGCACCGGCUAACUCCGUGCCAGCAGCCGCGGUAAUACGGAGGGUGCAAGCAUUAUCCGGAUUUAUUGGGUUUAAAGGGUCCGCAGGCGGACUAAUAAGUCAGUGGUGAAAUCUCUCGGCUCAACCGAGAAACUGCCAUUGAUACUGUUAGUCUAGAGUGUAGUUGGCGUAGGCGGAAUGUAUCAUGUAGCGGUGAAAUGCUUAGAUAUGAUACAGAACACCGAUCGCGAAGGCAGCUUACGGAACUACAACUGACGCUCAGGGACGAAAGCGUGGGGAGCGAACAGGAUUAGAUACCCGAGAAGUC